CAGCAGCCACGGGAACACGAAGGGGGCUAGCGUUGCUCGGAAUCACUGGGCGUAAAGGGUGCGUAGGCGGGUUUUUAAGUCAGAGGUGAAAUCCUGGAGCUCAACUCCAGAACUGCCUUUGAUACUGAAAGUCUUGAGUAUGGGAGAGGUGAGUGGAACUGCGAGUGUAGAGGUGAAAUUCGUAGAUAUUCGCAAGAACACCAGUGGCGAAGGCGGCUCACUGGCCCAUAACUGACGCUGAGGCACGAAAGCGUGGGGAGCAAACAGGAUUAGAUACCCCUGUAGUCCCUGUCUCUUAUAC
rnacentral:rRNA from 1 species